GGUGGCCGUGGGCAGCCGAAGUAAGUCUCAUCGCAAGUGCUUAUGAGGAGGAGGUCUUAUUUGCCGCUUGUAGCUAUUGUUUUCUUUGGUUUUUAGUCUUGUUGUCUCUGUUUAUGUAUUUGGGUUCGUUCUCUUACGUUUAGGGUCCAAUUUUUGCUGCUUUGUGUUUUAGUUUCUUUUGUUUCCCUUUCAUAGGGCUAUGCUUCCGGGGAUAUCUUCGUUUUCCUCCGGCUUUGUCUCCGAGAACUUUAAUUUCGUUCGUCGGCUUUGUUUCUCUUGUUUAGGCAUCGUGUAAUUCCCUGGUUCCACAUCAAGUUUAUCAAUCAAAUUUCAGUUUGAGUGACAAAAAAAAAAAGAAGUUUGGACUUUUGUUGUCAUAUGUGUUUAUUAUAAAUAGCCCAAGAUAAGAA
rnacentral:sRNA from 1 species